rnacentral:rRNA from 1 species
AUACGGAGGAUCCGAGCGUUAUCCGGAUUUAUUGGGUUUAAAGGGAGCGUAGGUGGACAGUUAAGUCAGUUGUGAAAGUUUGCGGCUCAACCGUAAAAUUGCAGUUGAUACUGGUUGUCUUGAGUACAGUAGAGGUGGGCGGAAUUCGUGGUGUAGCGGUGAAAUGCUUAGAUAUCACGAAGAACUCCGAUUGCGAAGGCAGCUCACUGGACUGCAACUGACACUGAUGCUCGAAAGUGUGGGUAUCAAACAGGAUUAGAUACCCUGGUAGUCCACACAGUAAACGGUGAAUACUCGCUGUUUGCGAUAUACAGUAAGCGGCCAAGCGAAAGCAUUAAGUAUUCCACCUGGGGAGUACGCCGGCAACGGUGAAACUCAAAGGAAUUGACGGGG